rnacentral:rRNA from 1 species
CUCGUAGGCGGCCAACUAAGUCAGACGUGAAAUCCCUCGGCUUAACCGGGGAACUGCGUCUGAUACUGGAUGGCUUGAGUUCGGGAGAGGGAUGCGGAAUUCCAGGUGUAGCGGUGAAAUGCGUAGAUAUCUGGAGGAACACCGGUGGCGAAGGCGGCAUCCUGGACCGAUACUGACGCUGAGGAGCGAAAGCCAGGGGAGCAAACG